UACGUAGGGUGCAAGCGUUAAUCGGAAUUACUGGGCGUAAAGCGUGCGCAGGCGGUUGUGCAAGACAGAUGUGAAAUCCCCGGGCUUAACCUGGGAACUGCAUUUGUGACUGCACGGCUAGAGUGUGUCAGAGGGGGGUAGAAUUCCACGUGUAGCAGUGAAAUGCGUAGAUAUGUGGAGGAAUACCGAUGGCGAAGGCAGCCCCCUGGGCUGAGAUUGACGCUCAGGCACGAAAGCGUGGGGAGCAAACAGG
rnacentral:rRNA from 1 species